CCAGACAUUUUUCCUGAUGUUCUAUUGAUUCCAGAUACAACUUGAUAUUGGAAAUGCUAACAAGUCUAUUAUAUUACGGUCUGCCAGCUCAAGGCUUGAGUUUCCAGGAUACCGGGCAGUGUUUAUGGAUGUUGUUACCAAAGCUGUUCAAGAUAAAGACAUUGAUGGAUCCAGUCAUGAUCAAACAUUUGGGGUACUAAAUUCCUUGAAGGUGUGUUGAAGUGGUUCUGGAUACUCAACUGUUAAUAACAAUUCACUAAGUGAAUCAACCUCCCAAGUGAUGAAUGCAAUUACCGUGUCUUGAAAAGGUUGAGUGUAUACCUUGUCUUUGACCUAGAGAGCCUUAAAAUUAGAUGGAACUUGCAUUGUCCUUAUGGACUUGUUGUUCAAAAAUUAGGCUGUGAUGACUCUAAAAUCUCUUCUGACAUUCAAAAUCAUCACCAGAGCCACUCAAACUGUUCUUGGUGCAUGGUUGCAUCUUAUUUGGAGUUUUGAAUUUUUCAUUGGAAUCUAAUGCCUCUCAUAUUUAAUGAUUUGUUUUUUGUUGCUUGUAUUCUUGGUUUGUUUGUUAUUUUGGCUCAGUCAACUGGGUUUCUUAUAUACUAUUCUUUAAUUCAUUUGUCUUGGCUUGUUUUUCACGUUCUUGGUUCUGGAAUCUAAAGGGAAGUCCUUGGAGGAGUUGAGUGGGGAGAACGAAGAUGAAGAAGGUGAUAAUGAUCAUGAGCAGCAACAGCAAGGUGCAUCCUCUUCUGGAGAAGUUUGAAAAAAGAAAGUUUGAAUUAUCCUCUCAAAGCUCAACAUUUACUCCAGGAGAGGAUGGAGCUGAUAGCCAACCAUCCAUAAAUCACACGCCUUCUGACUUGAUGUUAUGGAUGAUAAGAGGAAGAGAAGCUACAAAUGAAACAAGAAUUAAAUGAUGCUAGGAAAGAAAUGCAAGCUACUAAGAAAGAAGUACAAGAUACUACGAACCAAGUGCACGCUUUAAUGCAAUACUUGGGAUUUGUUGGCUCUUCUUCUCAUCCAUAUUCAUCACCUCAACUUAGUAAUGAAAGUGAAGAUGAUGAUGAUGAUGAAAAGAGUGAUCAUAUCGAUAGGUGUGAUUGAACAAAGCCUUAGUGAAGAUUGGAUGGAGUUUUUCUUAAUAUAGGUGUUGAUUUUAAAUCUAGAUACUUUAUUUUUUGACUAGAUAUAUUUUUUUUUUAGUAAAGAUAGAUUGACAUUGCAGUUAUAUGUUAAGAACCUUAAUUACUCUCUCUAUGAAAUGUGGGGUUGGUCUUGUUUACAAAUGGUUGUACGUAGCUUAAAGAAUAACAUACUACAUAUGCCCAAAAUUCCCAUUUACAUUGGGUUCCUUCGUACUUGAACCACACAUUUUAGCCUCUUGUAGUCCUUAAUUGGUAUUUACCUGAUGGUAGUGUCCAGUUAAAAAAAUAUUUUUUUAACAUCUUGGACAUAGAUUGAGUAA